rnacentral:tRNA from 1 species
GGGCUUUUAGUUCAGCUGGUUAGAACCCUCUCCUCAUAAGAGAGUAGUCGGGGAUUCAAAUUCCUCAAGGCCCA